rnacentral:rRNA from 1 species
CUGCGAAUGGCUCAUUAAAUCAGUUAUCGUUUAUUUGAUAGUACCUUACUACUUGGAUAACCGUGGUAAUUCUAGAGCUAAUACAUGCUAAAAACCCCAACUUCGGGAGGGGUGUAUUUAUUAGAUAAAAAACCAAUGCCCUUCGGGGCUCCUUGGUGAUUCAUAAUAACUUAACGGAUCGCAUGGCCUUGCGCCGGCGACGGUUCAUUCAAAUUUCUGCCCUAUCAACUUUCGAUGGUAAGGUAUUGGCUUACCAUGGUUUCAACGGGUAACGGGGAAUUAGGGUUCGAUUCCGGAGAGGGAGCCUGAGAAACGGCUACCACAUCCAAGGAAGGCAGCAGGCGCGCAAAUUACCCAAUCCCGACACGGGGAGGUAGUGACAAUAAAUACUGAUACAGGGCUCUUUUGGGUCUUGUAAUCGGAAUGAGUACAAUUUAAACCCCUUAACGAGGAACAAUUGGAGGGCAAGUCUGGUGCCAGCAGCCGCGGUAAUUCCAGCUCCAAUAGCGUAUAUUAAAGUUGUUGCAGUUAAAAAGCUCGUAGUUGAACCUUGGGCCUGGCUGGCCGGUCCGCCUCACCGCGUGUACUGGUCCGGCCGGGCCUUUCCUUCUGGAGAACCCCAUGCCCUUCACUGGGUGUGUGGGCGAACCAGGACUUUUACUGUGAACAAAUUAGAGUGUUCAAAGCAGGCCUUUGCUCGAAUACAUUAGCAUGGAAUAAUAGAAUAGGACGUGCGGUCCUAUUUUGUUGGUUUCUAGGACCGCCGUAAUGAUUAAUAGGGAUAGUCGGGGGCAUCAGUAUUCAAUUGUCAGAGGUGAAAUUCUUGGAUUUAUUGAAGACUAACUACUGCGAAAGCAUUUGCCAAGGAUGUUUUCAUUAAUCAGUGAACGAAAGUUAGGGGAUCGAAGACGAUCAGAUACCGUCGUAGUCUUAACCGUAAACUAUGCCGACUAGGGAUCGGGCGAUGUUUCUAUCUUGACUCGCUCGGCACCUUACGAGAAAUCAAA